UGGCGUUGAAGCGGCAAGCUGUUUCGGGUCGCAGUUUUCCGUGGAGCUUGAUCGAGGGUUAUGUGUUACCUCAACCCGAAUAGGCAUUCGCCGAAAGAAAACACUUCAU
rnacentral:ncRNA from 1 species